rnacentral:lncRNA from 1 species
CCCAAUUCAACUUUUAAAUUAAGUAUUGUGUCUAUAGGCAUAGUCCAUAAUUAUUCUUCUUCUUGUUUAUAAUCCUUUGCCUAAUAUCUUUCUCCUUAGGCUCAUUAUAUUACAUAUUCUGAUAUCACAAACACAGAUAGGGAAGAAGAAAGUAGGAAGAGCUGAGACAGGAGGUGAAGAUGCUGAUGUGCAUGCUGAGCAGCAUUGUUAUAAAUUAAUUGAACUUUCCUGAGAGACACUCCAAAGCCCAAG